rnacentral:tRNA from 1 species
ACCCCCGUAGCUCAGUGGAUAGAGCAGAGGUUUCCUAAACCUUGCGCGCAGGUUCGAUUCCUGCCGGGGGUA